AGAGUUUGAUCAUGGCUCAGAGUGAACGCUGGCGGCGUGCUAACACAUGCAAGUCGAACGGUAACAGGAGAAAGCUUGCUUUCUUGCUGACGAGUGGCGCACGGGUGAGUAAUAUAUAGCUAACAUGCCCCUUAGAGAGGGAUAGCCACUGGAAACGGUGAUUAAUACCUCAUACUCCUUCUUCACAUAAGUGAAGUUGGGAAACGGUUUUCCGCUAAGGGAUUGGGCUAUAUCGCAUCAGGUAGUUGGUGGGGUAAAGGCCUACCAAGCCAAUGACGCGUAGCUGGUUUGAGAGGAUGAUCAGCCACACUGGUACUGAGACACGGACCAGACUCCUACGGGAGGCAGCAGUGAGGAAUAUUGCACAAUGGAGGAAACUCUGAUGCAGCAACGCCGCGUGGAGGAUGACGCAUUUCGGUGUGUAAACUCCUUUUAUCAGGGAAGAAGAUGACGGUACCUGAUGAAUAAGCUCCGGCUAACUCCGUGCCAGCAGCCGCGGUAAUACGGGGGGAGCAAGCGUUACUCGGAAUCACUGGGCGUAAAGGACGCGUAGGCGGUUUAUUAAGUCAGGUGUGAAAUCCUACAGCUUAACUGUAGAACUGCACUUGAAACUGAUAAACUAGAGUAUGGAAGGGGCAGAUGGAAUUAGUGGUGUAGGGGUAAAAUCCGUAGAUAUCACUAGGAAUACCGAAAGCGAAGGCGAUCUGCUGGGACAUUACUGACGCUAAGGCGUGAAAGCGUGGGGAGCAAACAGGAUUAGA
rnacentral:rRNA from 1 species